CGUAGGGUGCGAGCGUUAAUCGGAAUUACUGGGCGUAAAGCGUGCGCAGGCGGUUUGUAAGACAGAUGUGAAAUCCCCGGGCUCAACCUGGGACCUGCAUUUGUGACUGCAAGGCUAGAGUACGGUAGAGGGGGAUGGAAUUCCGCGUGUAGCAGUGAAAUGCGUAGAUAUGCGGAGGAACACCGAUGGCGAAGGCAAUCCCCUGGACCUGUACUGACGCUCAUGCACGAAAGCGUGGGGAGCAAACAGGAUUAGAUACCCUGGUAGUCCACGCCCUAAACGAUGUCAACUGGUUGUUGGGUCUUUACUGACUCAGUAACGAAGCUAACGCGUGAAGUUGACCGCCUGGGGAGUACGGCCGCAAGGUUG
rnacentral:rRNA from 1 species